rnacentral:rRNA from 1 species
AACGAACGCUGGCGGCAUGCCUAACACAUGCAAGUCGAACGAGACCUUCGGGUCUAGUGGCGCACGGGUGCGUAACGCGUGGGAACCUGCCCUUAGGUUCGGAAUAACUCCCCGAAAGGGGUGCUAAUACCGGAUAAUGUCUUCGGACCAAAGAUUUAUCGCCUUUGGAUGGGCCCGCGUUGUAUUAGCUAGUUGGUAGAGUAAAAGCCUACCAAGGCGACGAUCCAUAGCUGGUCUGAGAGGAUGAUCAGCCACACUGGGACUGAGACACGGCCCAGACUCCUACGGGAGGCAGCAGUGGGGAAUAUUGGACAAUGGGCGAAAGCCUGAUCCAGCAAUGCCGCGUGAGUGAUGAAGGCCUUAGGGUUGUAAAGCUCUUUUACCCGGGAUGAUAAUGACAGUACCGGGAGAAUAAGCUCCGGCUAACUCCGUG